UACGUAGGUGGCAAGCGUUGUCCGGAUUUACUGGGCGUAAAGAGCGCGCAGGCGGUCGUUCAAGUCGCGUGUGAAAGCCCCCGGCUCAACUGGGGAGGGUCACGCGAUACUGAUCGACUCGAAGGCAGGAGAGGGUAGUGGAAUUCCCGGUGUAGUGGUGAAAUGCGUAGAUAUCGGGAGGAACACCAGUGGCGAAGGCGACUACCUGGCCUGUUCUUGACGCUGAGGCGCGAAAGCCUAGGGGAGCAAACGGGG
rnacentral:rRNA from 1 species